UCUCCGUUGGUGAACCAGCGAAGGGAUCAUUACCGAGUUUUUCUACUCCCAAACCCCUGUGUACUUAUACCUUUACUGUUGCUUCGGCGGGUUAACGCCUCGUAAGGCACAAAAAGCCGCCUGAAACAGGCGCCCGACGGGGAACCCAAACUCUUGUAUUACUUACUUUGCAUGUCUUAGUGGAAUCAUAAACAGAUGAAUCAAAACUUUCAGCAACGGAUCUCUUGGUUCUG
rnacentral:misc_RNA from 1 species